AGUCUACGUAGUUUGAUCCUGGCUACAGACGAACGCUGGCGGCAUGCCUAACACAUGCAAGUCGAACGAGACCUUCGGGUCUAGUGGCGCACGGGUGCGUAACGCGUGGGAAUCUGCCCCUUGGUUCGGAAUAACAGCGAGAAAUUGCUGCUAAUACCGGAUAAUGACGUAAGUCCAAAGAUUUAUCGCCAAGGGAUGAGCCCGCGUAGGAUUAGCUAGUUGGUGUGGUAAAGGCGCACCAAGGCGACGAUCCUUAGCUGGUCUGAGAGGAUGAUCAGCCACACUGGGACUGAGACACGGCCCAGACUCCUACGGGAGGCAGCAGUGGGGAAUUUUGGACAAUGGGCGCAAGCCUGAUCCAGCAAUGCCGCGUGCAGGAUGAAGGCCUUCGGGUUGUAAACUGCUUUUGUACGGAACGAAACGGUGAGCUCUAAUACAGUUUGCUAAUGACGGUACCGUAAGAAUAAGCACCGGCUAACUACGUG
rnacentral:rRNA from 1 species